rnacentral:lncRNA from 1 species
UGCCGUUCUCUUCAUAUUGUCCUUGUUGUCCCUGCAUUUGUGUUCCUUGGAUUUGCCUUUCCUCCCUCAUUGACUCUGGGGGCUGGAUGAAGUCGAGGCGUCCCUGUACCCUAACAAUCUGUGGCCUGUUGUCGUUCAUUCCCUGGAGCUGCUGGGCGGUCUGUUGGUCGAUGUUAAGAGCGUCGGCGAGGAGCUGUGUGUCGAAGCCGGAGAAGACGUUGUUGUAGUUCCCCUGCAUUUGGUGCCUGCUCUUUCCUUGUUGUCUCCGGAUCCGUGGGCUUUGGCCUUGUUGGGUGAACUCAUCUUGUGGGUUACCAGCAAGGUAGAAUCUCUAUAUAUAAAGAGAGAUUAAGCAGCAACAAGUCAGUGAACAUUACCCUAAACUAUUUUUGGUACAUGCAAGAAUAUAUACUGAAUGAAAUGUGGUAAGAAAUUGUACCCUUGGGAUUCGGUCCAGCUGGUUGUGCUGGUUGCUCAUGUCAAGAAGACUGACGAAAACAAGAGGUUCGUUAGCGUCGUUGUAACUCCAGCAGGUGACACCAGCAGGAAUGGCGAUAACAUCACCUUCCCUGACGCGUCGGACCUUCUGGUGACGGUCGAGCUGAUCAUAGCUCUCUUGCUGGCCUUGCUGGCCCAUUUGUCCCUCUCGGCGUAUAAUCUGUUGCCGGCGGCCUUGUUGGCCUUGAGAUUGUCGUUGCUCUUCAACAGAUUGUUCGGUUUCUUCGAAAGUCUCGGGACAGCCGGGGAGAACCAUUCCUAGAUGACCCAUACCUGCAAUACUCAUAGCAAUAAGUUAACAGUCCAUCGACAAACGCUAGCUAGCUACAUGCAAUUUCGGUAUAACUAAUGAAGUGAUAUGAUAUUACCUCGGACGACGUAAACGAGUCGUGGAGUGUUAACGUAAGAAGGCAGGUGGAGGCCGUUGUUCUCAAUGGUGAUCUUCUGAACGGCGACGCCAGCGCACUGGAAGUCAUCCUGGUUGUAGUCCCAGGACUCGAUCCGACCUGCUUCAGUCUCAAUGCGGUUGUCGGGCUCGCGGGCUUGGAUCCGGUUCAGCAUGCACUCAUUUUGCUGGCUGAACUGAGUUUGUCGCCGACUGGCUAAGCAGCCGUGGAAGAGAACAAGUAAGCAAAGAGAGAAAGCGAGAGCUAAGUGCUUGGCCAUUGUGAUGAUCAAUGGCAGAUAGCUAGUUGUGGGUUGUGAUGAUGAAGUGGAGAGUAGAGCGUUGGUAUUUAUAGGAGAUGAGAGGAGGUGAGGGUGAGAAUAGUGCAAAUGAUGUGUAAGGAAUCUCAUGCCAUUCUUCUCUUUGCAUGGCUAUUAGUAUUUCACAUUCUUACACCUCAUUUCUCUUCCAGGGCAGGUGGCUCUUGGCUUCAGAGAAGGUUUAAAGUUAUAAGAACAAGGUGGCAACCAGGUGGGGUGGCCAUGAUUGUUUGCAAGUGAAGCAAAUUUCACCUCCCCGAACCUCGUGCAAUGCAUGAACUCGAAUAAUUAACUCAUGAAUCAGAUCUGAAACUGUUUCAUGUUCGUGAAGAAAUAUUACAUCAGUACCAUCCCGAACUAUCUAUAAUUUACGGAGGUGAAACAUAAGAUGAUAAGAACUUUAUCAUCUUCCAAAUAGUAAUAUCCAUAUUCCUUUACUCCCUUUGUAUGUAAUUCAAAUGUAGUAUUUAAGACUUUUUGAACAUUUUUCAAGAAUGAUCUCUGGACUCGGCGCGCUCUUAUGUAUAAGAGUUCCUUUACCUGCUAAUAAAUCUAAAUAACUUAUAUAUAUAUAUAAACGGAUUUUCUCAGCUGCGGACGUCCGCACCAAUUUUUUGGUGCGGAUUUCUAUUUUUUCAUCACUUUUCGAUCGAAUUUCCUCAUCUCCACCGUCUAGUAUCUAGAUAAUAUUGUGUAGAUCAUCUCUGCAANNNNNNNNNNNNNNNNNNNNNNNNNNNNNNNNNNNNNNNNNNNNNNNNNNNNNNNNNNNNNNNNNNNNNNNNNNNNNNNNNNNNNNNNNNNNNNNNNNNNNNNNNNNNNNNNNNNNNNNNNNNNNNNNNNNNNNNNNNNNNNNNNNNNNNNNNNNNNNNNNNNNNNNNNNNNNNNNNNNNNNNNNNNNNNNNNNNNNNNNNNNNNNNNNNNNNNNNNNNNNNNNNNNNNNNNNNNNNNNNNNNNNNNNNNNNNNNNNNNNNNNNNNNNNNNNNNNNNNNNNNNNNNNNNNNNNNNNNNNNNNNNNNNNNNNNNNNNNNNNNNNNNNNNNNNNNNNNNNNNNNNNNNNNNNNNNNNNNNNNNNNNNNNNNNNNNNNNNNNNNNNNNNNNNNNNNNNNNNNNNNNNNNNNNNNNNNNNNNNNNNNNNNNNNNNNNNNNNNNNNNNNNNNNNNNNNNNNNNNNNNNNNNNNNNNNNNNNNNNNNNNNNNNNNNNNNNNNNNNNNNNNNNNNNNNNNNNNNNNNNNNNNNNNNNNNNNNNNNNNNNNNNNNNNNNNNNNNNNNNNNNNNNNNNNNNNNNNNNNNNNNNNNNNNNNNNNNNNNNNNNNNNNNNNNNNNNNNNNNNNNNNNNNNNNNNNNNNNNNNNNNNNNNNNNNNNNNNNNNNNNNNNNNNNNNNNNNNNNNNNNNNNNNNNNNNNNNNNNNNNNNNNNNNNNNNNNNNNNNNNNNNNNNNNNNNNNNNNNNNNNNNNNNNNNNNNNUAUAUAUAUAUAUAUAUAUAUAUAUAUAUAUAUAUAUAUAUAUAGGUUUCAACCGCAAGAGGUUAGUUCAGCACUAGUAAAUAUAUAAUUACAUGGCACAUGGAAGUGAUGGAACAAAGAAGUGAUACGCAAAUCAUCAAACUAUCACAUACGGCCUGAAACUUUGUGCUAAUACGUACAUAUGCCCUUCAAAUAUCCCUUAAACUUGUCAUAUUGUCAUAUAUAUUGACAUGCAUUUCAUUUGCAUCAAUGCAGAAUCAAACCCUUCGUAUAAAAUAAAAAUAAAAAUGCAGAAUCAAACCCUGACGUUAAUACAAGGAUAUUAGUUCCUAUGUCACUAACCGAUCGAUUUGGUGCAUCAAGUGCUCACCCAUGUACAAUCCCAAACAUAUGAUUCAUAUGAUAUGAAAUAGGCCAUCACAACCGAGAACUCACCGCCCCUCCUCUAUUUAACCCUGAGCUUAGAUAUCAAUCAUAUGAAACGCAUUCAUUUCCACAAGUGAAUUAAAAACCUCUGAAGGCUUAAUUAGCCGUUUAGGGUUCAUAUAUGGAUCUCUCAGUAAUUUGAAUUUGGCCACUUAUUCGAUCUUGUCAAACGAAGGACGCAAGGCAAUCUUUAGCUACUAGUUGUCCUUAGCGAUGAUCAUUAAGCACGUACGUACAGUUUCUAUAAUAAACUUUCUUAUUUCUUUCUAUUACAAUGGUUUGAAGCUUUUCUGUGCUAAUUGAUUCGUAAAGCUCGAGAGUACGUAGCUAUAUAUAUCCCAAUCAUUAAGGACCCUAUUAAUCAAAGUGAACAAUUAGCUUCAGGAUAACUGAGUAGGAAUAAUGGAGUAGCACCGGGAAAUAAGUCGGAAAAUACGUUCGUCCGGACUAAGUACGUAUGUGUGCGUCCGGACUCUCUUUUAUUUACUUUCUUUUGUCAAUGCAAAUCAUAAUCUUAACCGUUCAAAAGUUGAAUUAACCUAUAUAGAUCAUCUCUACAAAAUUUCAAUGUAAACAAACAUCGUUUUCUUAGUCGAUUACAUUAAACAAAUUGACAGUUCUAGUGAAAGUUAACAGUCUCAUGAUCAGUCGUCCAUUUGUUUGAUACAUUCGGCUUAGAAAACAAUGUUUGUUUACAUUGAAAUUUUGCAGAGGUGAUCUCCAUAUAUAGGUACGUAAAUAAGAAAGAGUUCAGACGCACACGUACAAACUAGUCCGAACGCAAAUAUUUUCCAAAUAAACUAGUCCGAACGCAAGUAUUUUCCAAAUAAGUUAAAUGACAAAAGCCAAAGUUUACAAGUACAUAAGAUUAGACCGAGUGUAAUGAUAAAAUGCGUGCACCAAAUCGGAAAUUGAGACUGAGAAUAAGAUUAAACACUCUGUAGUGUGUACUUACGUAGAGUUUAUCUAUCAAACUUGUUGUCGAAUUUGCUUUGAGGCAAAACCACCUAGCUACUUCAAAUUGGCGUGUAAGAUGAUGCUUAUAGUUGUGGACUUGUGGGUAAUGAGUUGAGAUUAAGUUAGAGUGACUGCGAGAGCGGUAUGUUGGAGUCUUCAAAAUAUAACCCAUUUUACAUUUCUCCUAUUCUAUGAUUAUUCUUUUUUCUUAUCCUAUGUUCUAUAAGUAGAUAACACAAUUGUCAAUUCUUUUAUUUUUCUUCUCUGUUCUAAAAAAACAAAAGAAUGUCUAAAUGUUGAAUCAACCAUAUAACAAAUUAAGCAAUACACUAAAAGAAGCUGCAGCUACCAGCUUGCUUUGGUCAAUUUGUUAUAUACUAAAGAUAUACCAAUUAUUCAUCAACGUCGACUCGGGUCAACGUACCACAUAGAUAUGCAAUAUGAAAGGGAAGAGUAUAUCAUCAAGGCAAACCAAAAAAGUGAAAACUUCAUUAGAAAGCAUAACGUUACAAGUACGUACAUAUACGUAGCAGCUAGUACUAUAACUUAGUACAUUGGAUCUCCCAUACUACAAAAGAGCCAUACAAGGCACUUUUAUUCCCUCGAACUGACGAACUCUACCCCUUAGCUAGCUUGAUGCUAAAACACUACAUGCCGCAUCACAUUUUUACAUACAUAUAUUGAUAUAUUUAAGCACUAGCCCUCUCGGACUGGAAAGAUCUUGAGGAGCUCAAGGCAACAGUCUCCUGCCUGUUGUACUUGAGGUUCCUUGCCUGCUGACGGUCCAUCUGGUAAGCAUUGGCGAGGACCACGUCGGGGAGUGCCCGGAGGACGGAGGUCCUGCCAGCCAAGGUGUUGAUUAUGGCAUUGUCUUGUGUCUUGAAGGCAAUGUACUCGUAUCCAUUGCUCAUGGCCUUUUGCAGCACGGCGUGGUUCUGCGGCACGAUGAAGAGCUGUCCCUGGCGGACCUGGUCGUCCAAGAUGGUCUCACCGUUGUCGUUCACCACCUGAACCCUAGCGCUGCCCCUGAUGACGUAGUACACUUCAUGGGCGUUCAAGUUCCAGUGUGGGCUGUAGAUAGCGUUCUGCAUGUACCACAUAAUAACCAUAAUUAAAACUGCUAAAUUAAACUCCACCAUAACUUGAUUAGACUUAGUUGAUAGACAAAUCAAUAUGCAUGCAUAUAUACUCACGUUGUAGAAGAAGCCUCUCUCAGCGCUGAGACGGAGGUGCCUGAGAACGGGCAUGCUAAGGCCAUUGAGGACGCUGAUGCGACCGGCUUGUGGGCUGAAGACGUCAGCCAUUGAAGGCUUGCCGAUGUUCUGCUUCAUCUUCAUGUGGCAGAAUACCUCCUCAAAACCAUUCUGUCCUUGUCGUCCUUGUUGUUGUCUUUCCUCCCUCAUUGACUCUGGGGGCUGGACGAAGUCGAGGCGUCCCUGAACCCUAACGAUCUGUGGCCUGUUGUCGUUCUGUCCCUGGAGCUGUUGGGCGGUCUGUUGGUCGAUGUUGAGAGCAUCGGCAAGGAGUCUGGUGUCGAAGCCGGCAAAGACGUUGUUGUUGUUGUUUCCCUGUUGUUGGUGUCUGAUCUUUCCCUGUUGUCUCGCGAUCGAAUGUCGGCUUUGGCCUUGUUGGGUGAACUCAUCUUGUGGGUUACCAGCAAGAUAGAAUCGCUGCUCAUACAGAUCAAGCAGCCAUUGAGUUAAACGAUUUUGUAACAUUGUAUCCAUAUAUAUAAUCAGGUGUCAGUAAGAAAAUCCAUAUAUAAUUAUAUAUUAUCAAAACGUUGAUAAGAAAAGGUACCCUUGGGAUUUGGUCAAGUUGGUUGUGAAGGUUGCUGGUGUCUUGAAGACAGACGAAAACAAGAGAUUGGUCACCGUCGUUGUAGGACCAGGUUGUGACUCCGGCGGGGACGGCGAUAACGUCACCUUCCUUGACGGGUCGCACUUUCUGGUGUCGGUCUAGCUGUUCGAAGCUCUCUUGUUGUCCCUGUUGGCCUUGUCGGCGUCCAAUUUGCUGGCGACCUUGUUGCCCUUGCCCUUGCUGUUGCGAGCCCUGUAGUUGUUCCUCGUAAGAUUGCUCGGUUUCUUCGAAAGUCUCGGGACAUCCGGGGAUCACCAUUCCUAGUUGACCCCUACCUGAAAUAGAUCACGUAUAAAAGACAGUAAGUUAACCUUGCUCAAGCACAACAUGCAAUUUAGUCAUAAGUUGAUCAGAAAAAGCGACGUUUAGAUAUUACCUUGGACAACGUAAAGGAGGCGAGGACUGUUGGUGUAAAAAGGCAAGUGAAGGCCGUUGCGCUCGACGGUGAUUCUCUGAACGGCGACUCCGGCGCACUGGAAGUCAUCCUGGUUGUAGUCCCAUGACUCGAUCCGACCCGCCUCGGUCUCAAUGCGGUUGUCGGGCUCGCGGGCUUGGAUCUGGUUCAGCAUGCACUCAUUUUGCUGGCUGGACGGAGAUUGUUGGCGAUAGGCUGAGCAGCCAUGAAAGAGAACAAGCAAGCAGAGAGAGAGAGCUAAAGACCUGGCCAUUUUGUAGAGUGGAUACUAGCUAUAGCUACUUGGGUGAGGAAGAGAGUGGAGAGGGGUUGGGAUUUAUAGGGUAGCGAAAGAGGUAAGGGAGGGACACGUACGUUGAGGAAGGGGUUGCAUGUGUAUAAGGCAUCUUCAGCCAUCUUUCUGUUUGCAUGGUGUGAAGGUUUGAAGGGUUUACACCUCAUUUCUGUGGUCUGAGGCAGGUGGCUUUGGUGAAGAAGAAGAUACAAAGUGCAUGGGAUAUAUGUGGCGAGAGGAUGGAGUCUCCAGUAUUGUCCGGAUGCAAACUGAAACUGCUUUUGAAGUUUACUGCCUUAAUUUUGGUAAAUAUGGAGAAAAAUACAUACAGUUUGUGAAAAGUAAAAUAAAUAAAGGAACUCCAUCAACUCAUCUGAACAUUGGGAAUUUGGGAUAAAUAACUAGUUAUCUCGAUCUGAUCUCAGAUAUGCAUGGCCUAAACUUACAUCCUACACUACCAUAGCUGCAAUGUAUAUUAAUACACAUGAAUCUAACCAAGCUCCUUAUAACUAGAAAAUAGAAUUGUUCUUUUUUUUCUUCUUUAAUUUGUAUCUUGGGUAUCAGUACUUUAACUGAUAUAUAACAACUGGAAAACUGUACAACAGCGUCUUGUACGGAAGUGCAAUGUAGGACGUAUUUUAUAUAGGAAAAUUCAAGGUAUUGGACUGUUUGCUAUACAAUGUAUUUUUAAAUAUUUUCGAUCAUCGGUUCUUGAAUUUUAAGAAAUAUGGUAACCGGUUUGGGGUUGUCUACGUAUAGAGAUGUGUAUAUUAUACUCAUUUUACAACUAAUUAAACCAAACUUAUAAUUUAAUGAAAAUAAAUAUACGACGAUGACAACAAACCUACCAGUUGAUUAUGUCAACUCAUUUGAAAUUACUAAUGAAGACACAUAAGCGUAAAAAAUAAUAAUAAUCCUCUUUUUCUUUCAUUACAGUAGUCUUCAUCUAGAAGAAAAAAUUCUUUUCCAACAUAAACACUAACAGAUACGUCGAACUCCAUGGAAGAUAGUGACAUUGUUUUGGAGUAUAUGCACAAUGUAUGAGUUUCUUGUUUUUUUUUUUUUUUUUUUUUGUUUCUUUUUUUGUAUGAAUUCACAAAUGUAUUAUUGUAAUUGUUUCAAUAAGAAGGAAACUUGUUGUCGACUAAGCAGAGUUUGCCCGUCCUAUUACUACAAAGAUUUUGAAGUUGUUUUUUUCUUUGUGUAUACUAAACACUCGUAAAUUUUCUUUAUUCAAAAGAAAAGUGUAUACUGACAAUCUCUUCUCCCUAAUAGAAAUAGCUUUAUGAUAUAGCGGCAAAAGACAAAUCUUGAGUUUUGGAUUUCGUUAUAAGAACUUGAUAAUUUUAUAAGAAAGUAAAUUAAUGGGUUGUUAUAUAUAGAGCUUGAGUAUAUAUACAUGGACUCUUUUUGAUAAUUUUAAGAGAAUGUUCUAGGAUAUUCUGUAUCUUUCUAGAUAUUCUUUAUGUGUGCAUUGGCCUUAUGCCAAUAGGAUAUGUAGUUAGACUAAUUCUAUGUAUUCAUAUCCUUACCAUAUUGGUAUUGUGUAAUUCCCUAUAUAAAGGGCUCAUAUCAAUGAAUAAGAUGAUGAUUCUCUUGCUAUCUCUUUCUCUACACUUUAUAUUUCAUCACGUUAUCAUGCACUUUGUUAUAACCCUAGAGCCAAUAGCCCACCAUUUGUUUUCCAAACCCUAAAAUCUGACAGCCUUGUUUUUCCUGAUUUCCGACCAAAAUUCCGACUGCCCUCUGCCGGAGUUUUAUAUCCCCAGAAAGCUCUCUCCGUCCUGGAUCCAACGCCGCCGGCCUCACCCUGAGAACCGGCCGGAAAGUCUUCGAACCGGCCGCUAGAAGAUUCCAGACCGCCGCCGCUACCGACCACCGGUUCACCACCUUCCCUUGCUCCGAUCAACCUGAAAUUUUGACAGCAGCUUCCCCAUCCAGAGCUGCUCAUUCUGUCAAAUUUUCAGCCCCAAAUUCGAAGUAUAAGUAGGCGAAACGUUAUUUCUCCUCUCGGCAGCCUCUAGAAACCAAAGAUUUCAAGAUUGGUCGUCUUCCAAGGAAACCAGAAAGGUAUGUUUUGAAACCUUAAACUUUUCCAAGUUCAAUAACUCGGGGAGGAUAAAAUCUUUUCCGCCCUUCUCUAUCUCCAUUCUAUGCUUGGGAUUUUGUGUGUGCAGGUACCAAAAAUCCCGGAAUUUUAUUCGCGGGUCAAGAGUGUAUUUGAUCACUCUUGCUUCCUUGUCCAGGUUGUGUAUGAUCAACCCCAACCUUUCUCCGGAUUGUGUUUGAUCAAUCCGAGGCCUUUUCCGAAUUGUGUUUGAUCAAUUCGCGACUUUUUCCGGAUUGUGUAUGAUCAAUCCGAAGGACAAACCAUUAAAAGCAUUGUUUGUGACCUCUAUCGAGUCUCAUAACAGCUUGGUUUUGUAUGCAAGAGCAACGUAACAUUCUGCUCAUUGAGUUUUGACGUACUCGAUACCUAAGACGAAUCUUCGCUUGGUAUCUGUGGAACAUUUCACUGGAAAGGAUUAAACAACAUAUUUUGACCCCCAGGCUAACAAGCCUAGAUGCCGAGAUUUCACAUCUCAUGCGCUCAAAGUCUUUGACGCGCCACAUCGACAAGCCUUCAAUGGCAAUCUGUGUAAAAAGUAAUGACCACAAAGUACUAUGGAAUGCACUCAUGGAGCGUUUCUUGAAACGUCCAUAUAACUCUACUUGUUGAGUUAUUAGUCAAGUGGAUUACUUACCGCCUUAAUUGACUACAUAUUGUCGAUGAUCAUUUGUGGCAUCAUGAUCCAUAACCUUUAGCGGAUUCGAUCAUCAUCAAGUUCUCUAGGUCCUCCAAGUUGGUUUGGAAUUACCAACGAGACUUGAUUUUGAUCAUACAAACGGGAAUUGUAUAUAUACGCUAAUGUGAUAAAUUUAUUUAGGAUUAUCCCCUAAAUGUGGGAACAACAAUAUGGGUCAUGACAACGGCAGAAAACGUCGUGCCGAUGUCUAGAAAAGAGGGGGAGGUGUCACCGGCUCUAAUAGCAACACUCCCGGUCUAGACACCAUUUUGUCAAAACUACUCACGUCAGCUCAUGACAACGCAACCAUUGUGGAUCUUCGGAUCACUGGUUCAAGAUUGUCAAGCUCCUUCAAAUUGUGAAUGCAUACAAAAAGGUAUAGAAAAUCAAUAUGAGGACAAGAACAUCAUCCUCAUGAUCGCGAAUUUCAAAGAUUCGGAUCCUGCUCUAGCUACCCAUGACUUUGACGUCAUCGACUAGACAUUGAUUUUCGUUCCAAGCUAUAUGUACUAAGGCGUUGAGACCUUGAUGUACUCACAUUAGCAAUAACGAAUGCCUUGAGAAUUUUUUCGAAGUUAUAAAACUAUUCUCCUCUUAUGGUUCGUAUUGAUUUACAAACAAGAUUUACAUUUUUACAUCGUCCUUAGAAGCAUGGCAUAUUUACAAUCUACAUGGUUAGAUUGUGCAGUUUUGGUCUCUUCCAAGUGGAGAUGACGCACGCCCUUGCAUCCUUAAGUAGGAUCGCUAACGUGUUUCCGGUUAAGUCUUCUACCCUAUAGCAGAUUUUUCAUCAUCAAUUGUUCAACUAGGCUCAUCCAAGCUCAGUGUGAUGUCUUAGAAUUGCCCGAAAUUAAGGAGAUAGUGGUUUCAAGUGUGCCUCGCACUACCGACCCUCCACGGACAUGCCUGGUCAUACUGACUUGGAGUUACCGAAAGCUUUUGAUUUUGGAUCCCCCUACGCUAUUAAACCAAUUGCCGUCUUGCAAAAGAUGUUGAAGACUUAUCAAAAACCGGAAAAUUAUCAUCAUGAUCUAAUCCUCUAGGUCCUCUGAGUUAGUUUAUGUUCAUGUCAGGGAGAUUUUGCUAACUAGUCAUGGAGUUUACGACCUUAGAAUGACCGAAAGGACUUUGUUUUGAUCAUACACACGUCACUUGUGGCUAAGGCAAAAUCCUACACGCCACUUGCAAGCUUCACAGCUUCGCACAUGCCAAUUCUGCGAAAAACAGCAAUCUGUCCCUUCUGGACAGUCAACUUCGUUUGCGUUUUGUGAACAGCUCCGGACGAACCAGACAAUAAGCUUUAUAUCAUUGGAAAGCUCUAUGAGUCUAGUUUUCAGAACUUUUCGCGGUUCAUCUAUAUCUAUUUUAACAAGGAAGUUAUGGCUGUUUUAGUGCGCAAAAGUCAUUCUGCGCGGAAAUUUUUAUGCACUCUCGGGAUUGCAGCUUUUCGUAGCUUCUUUCAAUCCUUCUAAAUAGUUCAAGUGGAACUAUUAACUAGCCUAUCUACUCCUUCUUGUAGAUAUGUCUCAUCGAGACAUUGAGUGCUUCGCAGAUAGUGGAACUAUCCAUAACAUUCUAAGGAACCGGCAACUAUCUUUGGAUUUUGUGUCUUUGUAAAUCUUCUGUGACUACAAUGAUUGAAUCAUACCGGUCAUUCAAGGACGCGGUUUAGCUUAAAUCUUGAUGCCUCAUGGAACCAUGAUCAAUGUCACAGAUACCCUCUAUGCAUUGAGAGGCAAUCGAACCAUAUUGAGCUCUAAAGACAUUCCUGCUAAUAGUUUUCAUUUGAAAACACAUUGUGAGAAUGAACAAGAAUUCUUUUGUGUAUACCUUCUCAUGAAUGCGGACUGAAGUGCAUCUUGGAGAAAUUCAUGAGUCAAUCUAGUGGACUGUAUGUCACUAUGAUUCGAAUAUGAUUCGAAUAUCGAAUCUCAUGUUGUCACCAAACAUGAUAUUUGGGACACUGACUCAUAUAGGCUUUGGUUUUAACCAAUUAAGGUCAUCCUAGAAGAGAUAUAAUGGUCCAAAUUUUGAGAAAUUCUCAUGGACAUCCAUUCUUCCGCUCAAAACAAAGACAUUCGAGAUCUAGCAUCACCAUGAAGCAUGGUGGUGACCCGGGGGACAUUGACGUCACCCGAACAAGGCUCCAACUUCCCGGAGGCCGUCCGGUCAAUUCCUCAAGCAACUGAGGUGCACCAGCCUUUCCUCGAUGUCGCAUUGGCCCCCUGCAAUGCUUAUUACUCGUUUUGAAAGCCUAUUAUUUAGCUAAAUUAGGAGUGAGACCCUCCUACGCUAAAUAACACAAAAGUGAACAUUCUAUUCUUACAUAAAAUUAUGUAGAUAGAUACAACCAACUUGCGAACAUCUUUUAUGUUUUAUGGUGUUGGUUGAAGUGUUAACACACUGGUCAUGUGUUACACUAUUAUCUACUGCUUAUGUUGCUUAUACUUCUACGGGCUCACUACCCAUUCUUUAAAGAAGUUUAUCGGGAUGUAAGUUGAAGUGUCCUGUACCCCAUGUUCACACGCAAUACGGUCUCACCGAGGCUACGACUAAGCAACUUUAGCUUGUCGCUCGAACAUUAUUGAUGCGCACCAAUCUUUCUAUUGCGUCUUGGGGCUAUACAAUAUUUGCAUGCAGCUUUACUAUUCAUCUACAACUCACCAUCAUUGAAUAUUUUUGUACUACAGCUCGUGACUGUGUACCAGGAUUGCAAUCCUUGAGCUCAAACAAGAUUGAAACGGAUCUCCAAUCCUUGAGCUCAGCUAGAUAUUUAUUCUAGGUGUCAAAUCGCACUGCCACUGAAGGACAAUGAUGGGUCAUUUGAGAUGAAUAAGUAUUUAGGUUGGAUAUGAAUCUCCACCUAUAAUCCGCAUAUGUAGAAACCUUGUCAGACGAUCUCUUUCACCGCUAUAUUGCGGAUUGUCACUUUGAUGAGACAAUAUUCUCGCCGUUAGGGGGAGAUAAGAGCACAAGUGUUCAAGUGGAACGACGUGAAUUGUCGUGGUUUGUCCCCACUAAGUCUCAUCUUGAUCCCAAAUGCUUAAAGUGUUAAAGUGACGAGAUCACAUGCAGCAAAUAUGUCUGUAAGGAUUGAUGUCCUUUUCAAAGGACAUGGCGCGACCAAAAGGUGUUGGUCUUGACGCCAUCACCAUGGAUGGUGAUAUAGUGACGCCAUAUAGUGGCAAAAUUGGUGUCACAAAGCCGUGUGGCUCCCUAAAAGGAAGGAGACCUUUAGGUUCGAUACUUUCUCGCACUAGAAAGAAAACGAGCUUGGCACAACCUGAUCCAUUGAUCAGUGAUACUCAAAUCCGUCUCAUGAAGUCUGAAUUGUGAUUAUCGUUGGGGGACGCCUCAACGUCAAAUCCAAUCCAUAUAGAGAUCUCUACACGUAUUACACUAGUGUACAUGAGGACGUGGGAUAAUGAGUCUACUAUCGAACCACCCUUCGUUGAUGGAUAUCAACUUAGUUGAUUGGCCUAAUGGAAAGAUGUGAUCCAGCAUAACAAAGAGAUAGGUCCUUGGGCAGGUGAUGCCGACACCGCAAGCUAAACCCUAUCAACUAUGCCUUUGUUAGAUAACGUAGUGAGAACAAGAGCUUAGACUCACCUUAUGACGCAAGGUAUCUCACUAACACGCACUGAGAUCGACUACGAUAAGAUAUGCUUUCGUAAUGGAUGUCAUUGAACUCCACUACUUUGUCAGUUUGGUAGUUUCCGAAUAACUGAACAAGCAGCCUAUGAAUGUGAUCGUAAUAACAUCUCUACGGGAUCAGAGAUAUGCAUGAAGGUCUUGAACAGACUUCAUUCAUCCAAAUCAAGUGGCUCCAGACCACAGGAGCAUGUGUUUGCUAAAUGUAUUGAAACGCACAUGGACUCCACUUGAUUUGGAAGGGAUAUGGUGAAUUAUGCAUUUGCGUGUUCAUUCAAGAUUUACAUGGACUCUUGAUGGAUCAAGAGAUGCCAAUAUGUAUCAACAUCCGAAGAAAAAGAUCUUGGGAAGACACGGUCUCGAUAAGACACUCGAUGACUGUAUUGAUGAUGAUUUUUCAUCAAUCGGCUUAGGUGCUCUAACGAAAGUGAGGCCUACAUAUACUCCCAUGAUUAGUCAAAGUCUUUACUCUAAAGAGAGAUCCGUUGUUUUGUCUAAAGCAUGAUGACAAAUAUGUGUUAAGAGAUGGAGUUCCCAUCUAAGUACAAUUAGACGCAUCAAUGUACUCAACACAAUAUGAAAGACUUGACAUCUCAUUCGCUAUGAAAAGUUGUAAAGCUAAGUAUAGUUAUGCGCCCACGUAACGCCAAUGUAAUGGCAGUAACUCUUUUUUCAAUACUUAAUGGUAUGAAAGGUUGAGGCUAAUUCUAUCCCUACAUAAGAAAGACACAUCAAUAGCGAAAUCAAAAUCUGCCAAGUUUCGUAGGUCAACUUCCACGGGACCUACAAGAAAUCUCACUCACUAGAAAAUGGUGAAAUUGGUACCAUUGGAAAGUUCUAUGUGUCUACUUUCCAGGGACACCAACCAUUUGUUCAUACCUAUCAUAUUGAGUGAGUUAUGGCCGUUUUCAUAAAGUAUGACGAAUCUGUCCGAGAAUCUGAUUUUGGCAAAACAGUCAACUUCGACGGGACUUUGUGAAUAGCUCCUGAUGAAUCAGAACAUGUGUAAUAUACAGUUGGAAAGCUAAAUGAGUCUAGUUUCCAAAACCGUUUACGGUUCAUUCAUAUGUAUUUCCUAGAGGAAGUUACGACUGUUCUAGUAACUGAAGGUCAUGCUGCGCGGAAAUCUGAUUUCCUGCACAAACUUAUGUUUUGAGUUCACAAGCGGCCUUCUCCUCAAGAUCUAAGUGUAAAAGAUCAUUUGAGGACAAUACGGCAUGAUUUAGUUAAUCAUUGCCUAAUGCCACAUUUGAAGACAUGUUAAAGAGCAUUGACAUGCUAAGUUGUUGAAAUUUCCGUGAUUAGUAAAAAUCAGGAAUAGCCCUAUGAUUGAUGUAAAGAUCAGGGGGAGGUGCAAACUUCAGGGGGAGUCUAGCACAUACAUACAUGUCACUAUCAAAUGUGAAUGGUGCGUUGUACUCUUUUUCUCCUACGAUCAAGGUUCAGUUUUUCUCCCACAUGGUUUUUGUGACUUGACGAGGUUUUUAACGAGGCAACAGAUCAGCACCAUCGGCAUAUCAGAGCGGCACAAGGGGGAGUGUUCUAGGAUAUUCUGUAUCUUUCUAGAUAUUUUUUAUGUGUGCCUUGGCCUUAUGCCAAUAGGAUAUGUAGUUAGACUAGAUCUAUGUAUUCAUAUCCUUACCAUAUUGGUAUUGUGUAAUUCCCUAUAUAAAGGGCUCAUAUCAAUGAAUAAGAUGAUGAUUCUCUUGCUAUCUCUUUCUCUACACUUUAUACUUCAUCAGAGAAUAAUGUUUUUCUUGAUUUUAUUGGACUAUGGGCGUUCUGGGAAAAUUGAGGAGGUGUAUAUAACAUUUUAGUUAUUUGUAAAAGUAAAUUUGAGGUCCAUUAAACAAGAAGAUCCAACAGCCGUUUUUAGAGAUAUAAAUAGAACCUCCCAUGACGGAAUGAUAUUACAGUGAAGUUGAAAAAAAAAAAAAAAGUCACAAUGUGCUUGACCUAUAUAUAUAUAUAUAUAUAUAUAUAUAUAANNNNNNNNNNNNNNNNNNNNAAAAAAAGUAAAAACUAACAUAUGNUNUACUACUAUAUAUAUAUAUAUAUAUAUAUAUAUAUAAACCAUACUUUCUUGUAUCAUCUUCAAAAAUAAGGUUCAAAUUAACAGCUAAACAAAACAUCGAUUAUCGUACGUUAAUGUUUCCUUUAGUUAUAGACUACUAGCAGAAAUCCGUAAUAUAUAUAGCUCCACAAUAACUAGUAGUGAAGUAUCUACGUGCAUGCAGAGCUAUCUAUUUGUUCUGUACAUGGGAAUGGUGGGUUUGGCUUUAUACCGAUAAAGAACUCUCCUGUCCUUGAAAUUCCAGUUCUCAAAGGUCACGAAUAUCUUCCCUGGUUCACUAAAGUAGAAGGAGUUUCUCACACUCUCUCCUUGCAGUCUCUUCUUGUCUUGGAUUAGAAUGUUGUACGACCCUUCAUCAUCAGGAAGGAACUCUUCCUUGUACAACACGUCCCAUCCCACCACAGUUAGAUCCCACACCAUUGUCAAUCCACCCUAAUCAAAUGAAAACACCCCAAAAAAUGAAAAUUAUUAGUUAACAACAAGAUUCAACUCAUCAUUCGAUUAAACACGCGAUUAAUGACGAGAAUUAGUACCUCAACAACUGGAAUUUCAAUAUAGUUGAUUGUGUUUGCUUUGAUUAUGAGCUCAGAUACUUUGUCCUCUGGUGUGAACUCAUCAUCUUGCUCUCUUUUGAGGCCACCAUAUUGAACUGGGAGUUCUUCUGGUUCUAUGAACCUUUUUUUUCAUAAUCAUUUCCAUGCAAAGUAACUUGUGUAUUAGAGACACGGAUGAGAUACUAAUGUAAUUGGAUAGUUUCAAUUUUUUGAGUAGUAAUCUCACUCACUUGAGAAGGGUCUUUGUAACCUUUUGGGAUCUAGCAAAGAUGAACGUCUUCUUAGUUCUGUGACUUAGAAACCUUGAUCGGAGCACAUGAGACACAUAAUACCAAAGUGGAGCAUUGAUAACAAUCUGCCAGUGGAAAGCAAGAAAUUAACAUAUACCACAUUGUAAUUAGCAAGUGCAGAGUUUUGCUACUUACAUUCUUUUGAAUGAGCUCAGGAUAGUUGUCCUGUAACAAGAGCAGAGUUUUGCUACUAAGCGAACGAAGCUCCUUAAAAUCGGGGCCUGGGGAAUCCUUCAAAUCCGUAAUCUGAACCAUCGAAUCAACCCCUCUCUUGAAGUUGAGCUUCUUGAUUCCCUUUUCAAUGAAUUGAACUCUCCACCUCAAAAACUGUUGGCGUCUUGCUUCAGACCCGAAUGUUUUCUUGUACAAGUCUUUGUCCUUGAAAGGUCCAUACGAAGUGUAACACAAAGGGUGGCCAUCUUUGUCUCUACUAUUUAUGCACACCACGUCUUCAAGACCAGAGACUCCUAAAUCUUCUUCCAGAAUUUCAUCAGUCCUGAAUUCUUUUCGCCAUUUCAGGGUUCUUUUCAGCAUUUCAAAUGCGUCGCUGGUCUUGUAAUCCCGGGCUUUCAAGAAUUUGAGGAGCAAAACAUCAGUGCCUUGAUGGCCUUUGCUUGGCAACAAAGGCACACCCCAUAGGGUAAUCUCCUUGAGUUGUUCUUUCUGCCUCAAGCUUUCAUUUCGGCUAAUCCUUCUGCUGGGUUUUCCGAGAAUGUAAUUCCCCAUAAUUGCAUCUUCAACUCUGCACCGGAAUUCCAUCAAGGCUUUCCUCUUCUUCUUCUUCAUUGACGCAGAAGCAGCUUUGGUUUCCUCAUCAUCCUCUAUAGCUCUACGUUCAACAUCUUCUUCAUCACUAUCCGGACAUAAUUCCCGGGGGCUUUCCAAGAUGUAGUCAUUAGGCUGAUCAUAAUUUCCCAGAGGCGAGUCAAGCUCUUGCUCUCUGCCCUGGUAAUUAGCUUCAUUUUUCAUUUUGGGUCUCCUGAUCAUUCAUCUCCCAUUGUCAAAUAUAGAGGAGAUUGAAAUCCCCGGCAUUCAGAGUUUCCGGGGAAACUGAAUAUUGGUGGUGCUCGGAUUCAAUGAUGGGGAGUUGAGAACGACGAACACAAAAAGUUUACAUCUUUCCUUUCUCUAUUACCUCAAGCUCAAGAAAGGCCUGGCGCCAAAUUUAGGUUGGACAAUCGUAGUAACUAACGGUGAGAUUGGAACAGGCUUUUUUACAAGUGUUUUAAACUUUUAUCCCCAAUUCAUCGGGCUUGGCUGGCAUACAAUUAGUGGUUGUUGUAAAUAGAUUAGGUUCCAAAUGCAAGUCAAAUUUAGUAUUUGAGUUUCAACACUAAACCCUUAAUCCAACUCGUUGCCUAACAAUGUGCAAGAAUCACUGUCCAAGUCAAAAUUUUGCCUUGCUGGGAUAAGGGAUCUAAGAACAUCUCCAAAAAAGAGAUAGAAAAACACAAUUGUACAAAAGCAACACCAUGGAAACGGUGUUAUGUCGUAAAGGUGCAACAAGUUAUUCAAGUUAUUAGAUUUGCAAAGGUCACCAUCUGUCCUCAAAAAAGGUCACAAACUGAUCUCCACUGUCCUGGUAUGGGAGGCAUUGACAAUAGAAUGAGAAGAACGAAAGAAAAGGGGAACAACUUACAAGCUAAUACUAAACAGAUGGUUGCUGGAGAAAGAAAAGAGACAAUGGCUGAGAUUAAUCCUCUACAUUCUGGGAAGUUCGAUGCAUUAUCUUGUCCUCCUUGACUAAUUCACAACCUGUAGCAGUGAUUUUUACAUCCUAAUACAGCGAAACCUAACUGCUGAUUUCCAUGCCUAUGAAAAGAAUGUAACCUGAACGGCCGUUGAAAUCUUGUAAUCAUAUUUACAGUGAAAUGGGAUGUGAAAUGAUUGAUCUGUAUCUAUAUAACAAGUCAUUAUCCAACUGCAGACUGGGAGCUGCUGCAUUACUCCUCUCGAAAUCUAGUCAAGUCAAAUGACAUGGUUUUGGAACAACUGCAAUAACAGCAGCACAAUUAGCGCGUUAAGAAACUAUAAUAUAAAUCCUCAAGAUAUAACCAUGUGACGUGCUCAAAUUCUUGUCUGAUGCUCACCUCAUGUCAGCGUCCCUGAAAACCCCAACCAGAGCUUCAGCCUUGUCAUAGAAGCUAUCUUUUAGAGAUAUUACAAUACUCUGAAAACCAUUGCCUCCUUCCGUAUCCUGGUUAACCCUGGCUCCUUGGCAAGACUUUGAACGGAUGAAUCGAGCAACUUUUGCUACAUUUAAGUUAUCCAGUGCAGCAUCAACUUCAUCCAGUAUGAAGAAAGGCGAAGGCCUAUAGCUGAAGCAUUCAUGAAAACAAAUGUGGAAAAACAAUUAAUUACAGGCUCUUAUCUACAGUGUAAAAGAGUAGAAACCAAAAACUAGAACAAAACUUUCGUAGUGGAACAGCGUACAUAUUGGUGAAAGGAAGACCAAAAGCCAGAAACUCCACAAUCCCCACCCAAAAAUAUUCAUAACUAUUGAAGCAUGUGCUCUAUGUAUCUACUGCAAGGCCUACCCAGAAUCUUUUGUUCUUGGAUGUCUUUAAAGGUAAACACUAUAUAUGAUUAACAUAUACCUGUGUAUGGCAAACAGUAAUGCUAAUGCUGCAACAGUUUUCUCUCCGCCAGAUAAUUGUUCCAUAUCUCGAAAGCGCUUUGUUGGGGGCAUAGUAGUGUACUUGACGCCAUGUAGAUAUGGAUCAUCUUCAUUUUCUAAAUUCAAAUAUGCCGUCCCACCAAGUGGAUGUGUAUUGCUCUUCGUCAGUUGCUUGUAUAUCUUAUCAAUAUUACUAGAAAUAUGGUUGAAGGCAUCCAUAAACUUCUCAUACCUGCAUUGACCAAAUAAACCAUUACAAUCAAAUGUCAGGGAAAAAAUAGAAAUCAGUUGCGUAGUGGGCAUAUUUGUCACUUACGUGAUGAUUUCUUUCACUUUCUGUCGACAGUAAACAUUGACCAUUCCUAUUACUAGUUUCUAUCCAUAAAGUUUGUCUUACGAAACCCAAUAAUGUGCAAUCAUGUAUAGUCAACUACAUUAUGAUAAUUAGACAAUCCAGUAGCAGUGUAAAAGCAAUCAAUACCUGCUUUGCUUAACCGAGUUAAACAGAUCAGCCUUUUGCUUCUGUUCUUUUCUGGCCACUUCAAACUCUGCAGUUAUAUCUCUUUCCUUUUCUUGUAGAGCCUCAUAUUGGUCCAUGGCCUUCAAAUUGGGAGCUGUUCUUUCUAUUUCUGAUAGCUUGGCAUCCAUUUGUUUCUUAAAGUCUAACUCGACUUUCUCCCGCUCAGAAGGCCUCCUAUCUCUCAAUAGAGACUCAUCUAACUCAUCAAAAUCAAAUACUGGGCCCGUUGUGGAGGAGUCAGUCUCCAUUGGAUCUGAGAUGAUAGGAAGGCUUAUUUGCUGAAGUUCACAAUUUUCUACUAUCUCCUGCUUCCGAGAUGUUAGCUGCUCAAUCUGAGUUUCCUGUAAGGCACGAAAAAAAUGUUUAGGGAUUCAAAUUAACAUGGUACAGAAGUGUCGCAAACAAAACCAAAUGCCAACCUUAGAAUUUAUCUGUCGAUUAAGUUUGGAUACAUUUGUUGUAGCAGUAGAACCCCGCUUGUUCCAUUCUUGAAUUUCCUUUUCACACCCUUCCGACUUGGAUUUCCACUCUACAUUAAUAGUGAGAGAUACAACUUUAUGAACUAAAAAGAAAGGAUAAAGUGGGUUUGCGACUCGUUUGAACAACUUGGGAAAAAGACAGAAAAAGAACAACAACCAUGAGAUCAAGUCCCGCGCUCAAGGCCUAAAAUCUGAGAAUUUAAGUUCUCCAAAAAAAAUACAGUACCAUGCCGAACUUUUAUCAUACCUUGUGCAUCUUCCUUCAACUGCUCAAUCUCAGCAGAGGCUUUUUCAGCUGCAGAGUUGGCUUCAAAUUCUUUCUUUUGAACCCAUUCUAAAUCUUUUUGUAGAUUACUAAUAGAUGAUUGGAGUUCUUCAAUUCGUGUAGCCAUGUCCCGAUUUUGCUCAUACUCUAGCCUGAAAGCAAACAAAGACCAGUAUUUUACCAUAAAAUAUGAGCAAGUGCCAAAGCUGUCAUACAACAAGUACACCAGAAACAAUAGUGGUGAAACUGGGCAGAUUGUUUGGGUUUGAUAUUUGAGUACUUCAAUAGAACCUGUGGUCAAUCUAAAAAGUUAAAACAAAAUUUUCAAAGACUUUACAGCCCUACAAAGAACUUGUAACUGGACAGCGUCAAACAUCUCUCAUCUUUAGUGAUCACUGCUUUCUAAAAAAGUCGUGUGAUAAUAGACACGACAGCGUUCUUUAAAGAUGAUCAAGACACAUCAAAAAGAAUAUAUGGUGGGGAGCGAGGAAAACCAACUGACUAAUUGGCCCAAUACUUGUAGUUGGUUGUUUCCUCAGUCAAAGUACUUGUAGUUCAUCAGAAUGUUAAAGCACAAUUUGAAGAUGCAUAAAUGCAUGCACAUUCAUACAAUAGUGUGGGAAUCAAUGAUCAAGUUAUAUAUCACAUAAUUCAUGCAUGUGUCCAACAUAAUAUACACAACUCACAUUCCACUGUAUGCCCAAAAUAAAAUAAUUACCAACAUACAACAGUAAAAUUGACAAAAGAUAAAAUAUAGGGAAGAACAUACUGGUAUUUCAAUUUUGAUAGCUGGCUACUCAAACUAAGCCUCUCUUCAGCCAUAGAUUGGGAAACCUUGAGUUGUUUUUCUUCAUACUCACGAAUGUUAUCUACCCCAACAGAUUUACUAAAGCCUUUGUAGAGUCUGUCAACAAUAUCAUUUAUCCUCUUCUCAAGCUUAUUGAUUUCUGUGCUCCGCUUAUCUACAGCUUGUUUUAGCUGCAAUCAUUUUUAAAACUGCUGUGUGAAACAAAAUGCUAGAAUAAGCUAGAGAAAACAGUAAUCAGGGAAAUACCUUCAGAAGAUCAGGACUGAUACGAUCAAUCUCUUCUUUUAUGUUCUGCCUCUCCCGCGCCAAAUUUGCAAGUUUGUCCUUGAUG